rnacentral:sRNA from 1 species
GACAUAAUUCACUUUUAAGAAACUAUUG